rnacentral:tRNA from 1 species
CGGAGCAUGGCGCAGUCUGGUAGCGCACUUGUCUGGGGGACAAGGGGUCGCAAGUUCGAAUCUUGCUGUUCCGACCA